UGGGGAAUAUUGCACAAUGGGCGCAAGCCUGAUGCAGCCAUGCCGCGGGUGUGAAGAAGGCCUUCGGGUUGUAAAGCACUUUCAGCGGGGAGGAAGGCGUUAAGGUUAAUAACCUUGGCGAUUGACGUUACCCGCAGAAGAAGCACCGGCUAACUCCGUGCCAGCAGCCGCGGUAAUACGGAGGGUGCAAGCGUUAAUCGGAAUUACUGGGCGUAAAGCGCACGCAGGCGGUUGAUUGAGUCAGAUGUGAAAUCCCCGGGCUUAACCCGGGAAUUGCAUCUGAUACUGGUCAGCUAGAGGCUUGUAGAGGGGGGUAGAAUUCCAUGUGGAGCGGUGAAAUGCGUAGAGAUGUGGAGGAAUACCGGUGGCGAAGGCGGCCCCCUGGACAAAGACUGACGCUCAGGUGCGAAAGCGUGGGGAGCAAACAGG
rnacentral:rRNA from 1 species